CCUACGGGAGGCAGCAGUGAGGAAUAUUGGUCAAUGGGCUCAAGCCUGAACCAGCCAAGUCGCGUGAGGGAAGACUGCCCUAUGGAUUGUAAACCUCUUUUGUCAGGGAGCAACGCCGGCUACGUGUAGCCGGACUGAGAGUACCCGAAGAAAAAGCAUCGGCUAACUCCGUGCCAGCAGCCGCGGUAAUACGGAGGAUGCGAGCGUUAUCCGGAUUUAUUGGGUUUAAAGGGUGCGUAGGCGGAAUGCCAAGUCAGCGGUAAAAUGGCGGGGCUCAACCUCGCUCUGCCGUUGAAACUGGUGUUCUUGAGUGGGCGAGAAGUAUGCGGAAUGCAUGGUGUAGCGGUGAAAUGCUUAGAUAUCAUGAAGAACUCCGAUCGCGAAGGCAAGAGUCCGGGGUGCAACUGACGCUGAGGCUCGAAAGCGUGGGUAUCAAACAGGAUUAGAUACCCGAGUAGUC
rnacentral:rRNA from 1 species